rnacentral:rRNA from 1 species
GAUGAACGCUGGCGGCGUGCCUAAUACAUGCAAGUCGAGCGAACAGACGAGGAUCUUGCUCCUCUGACGUUAGCGGCGGACGGGUGAGUAACACGUGCAUAACCUACCUAUAAGACUGGGAUAACUUCGGGAAACCGGAGCUAAUACCGGAUAUUAUAUUGAACCGCAUGGUCCAAUAGUGAAAGACGGUUUUGCUGUCACUUAUAGAUGGAUCCGCGCCGCAUUAGCUAGUUGGUAAGGUAACGGCUUACCAAGGCAACGAUGCGUAGCCGACCUGAGAGGGUGAUCGGCCACACUGGAACUGAGACACGGUCCAGACUCCUACGGGAGGCAGCAGUAGGGAAUCUUCCGCAAUGGGCGAAAGCCUGACGGAGCAACGCCGCGUGAGUGAUGAAGGUCUUCGGAUCGUAAAACUCUGUUAUUAGGGAAGAACAAAUGUGUAAGUAACUAUGCACGUCAUGACGGUACCUGAUCAGAAAGCCACGGCUAACUACGUG